rnacentral:rRNA from 1 species
AAAUUGAAGAGUUUGAUCAUGGCUCAGAUUGAACGCUGGCGGCAGGCCUAACACAUGCAAGUCGAACGGUAACAGGAAGCAGCUUGCUGCUUUGCUGACGAGUGGCGGACGGGUGAGUAAUGUCUGGGAAACUGCCUGAUGGAGGGGGAUAACUACUGGAAACGGUGGCUAAUACCGCAUAACGUCGCAAGACCAAAGAGGGGGACCUUCGGGCCUCUUGCCAUCAGAUGUGCCCAGAUGGGAUUAGCUUGUUGGUGAGGUAACGGCUCACCAAGGCGACGAUCCCUAGCUGGUCUGAGAGGAUGACCAGCCACACUGGAACUGAGACACGGUCCAGACUCCUACGGGAGGCAGCAGUGGGGAAUAUUGCACAAUGGGCGCAAGCCUGAUGCAGCCAUGCCGCGUGUAUGAAGAAGGCCUUCGGGUUGUAAAGUACUUUCAGCGGGGAGGAAGGUGUUGUGGUUAAUAACCGCAGCAAUUGACGUUACCCGCAGAAGAAGCACCGGCUAACUCCGUGCCAGCAGCCGCGGUAAUACGGAGGGUGCAAGCGUUAAUCGGAAUUACUGGGCGUAAAGCGCACGCAGGCGGUCUGUCAAGUCGGAUGUGAAAUCCCCGGGCUCAACCUGGGAACUGCAUUCGAAACUGGCAGGCUUGAGUCUUGUAGAGGGGGGUAGAAUUCCAGGUGUAGCGGUGAAAUGCGUAGAGAUCUGGAGGAAUACCGGUGGCGAAGGCGGCCCCCUGGACAAAGACUGACGCUCAGGUGCGAAAGCGUGGGGAGCAAACAGGAUUAGAUACCCUGGUAGUCCACGCCGUAAACGAUGUCUACUUGGAGGUUGUGCCCUUGAGGCGUGGCUUCCGGAGCUAACGCGUUAAGUAGACCGCCUGGGGAGUACGGCCGCAAGGUUAAAACUCAAAUGAAUUGACGGGGGCCCGCACAAGCGGUGGAGCAUGUGGUUUAAUUCGAUGCAACGCGAAGAACCUUACCUGGUCUUGACAUCCACGGAAGAAUUCAGAGAUGGAUUUGUGCCUUCGGGAACCGUGAGACAGGUGCUGCAUGGCUGUCGUCAGCUCGUGUUGUGAAAUGUUGGGUUAAGUCCCGCAACGAGCGCAACCCUUAUCCUUUGUUGCCAGCGGUCCGG